AGUGAACGCUGGCGGUAGGCCUAACACAUGCAAGUCGAACGGCAGCACAGUAAGAGCUUGCUCUUACGGGGGGCGAGUGGCGGACGGGUGGGGAAUACAUCGGAAUCGACUUUUGCGUGGGGGAUGACGUAGGGAAACUUACGCGAAUACGGCAUACGGCCUACGGGUGAAAGUAGGGAAUCUUCGGACCUUGCGCGAGGGAAUGAGCCGAUUUCGGAUUAGUUAGUUGGCGGGGUAAAGGCCCACCAAGGCGACGAUCCGUAGCUGGUCUGAGAGGAUGACUCGCCACACUGGAACUGAGACGCGGCACAGACUCUGACGGGAGGCAGCGGUGCGUACUAUUGGCCACUGGGCGCAAUCUUGCUCCAGCCAUACCGCGUGGAUGCAGCAGCCCUUCGGGUUGUAAAGCCCUUUUGUUGGGAAAGACAAGCAGCAGGUUAAUACCCCGUUGUUCUGACGUUACCCAAAGAAUAAGCACCGGCUAACUUCGUG
rnacentral:rRNA from 1 species